GAGACUUGCAGCUCAACAAAGGAAAGCUGAAACCUGUUUUUCACUUGUUUACUCUCAGCAGAUUAACUGUUCUGGGAAAUGCGUCUGAAAAUAAAAAAAAAAAACUACUUCUGUGUAAUAUGUUAACAUUUUUCUUUCCCUCAGGGCUGCUGUCAUGAUUAUUGUUUCCCUUGCUGCUGCUGUGUUCUACCUGUUGUUCUGCCAUGUUCUGCCAUGUUGUUUUGCAGCUUUUCAGUCUUUCUUUGUUAAAAGCAGUAUUCUAUCUCAUCUAAGUUUUUUGUUUUUUUGUAUGGACAAUAGUGCUGAAAUGAUUAGUCAGUUAACUGAUUACUUAUCUACUAUCAAUUGGCUAGAAUUCUAAUAAGUAAUUAAUCGUUUGAAGCCAUUUUUCAAGCAGAAAUGUGAAACAUCACCUAGUUUCAUCUUGUCAAAUGUGAGGAUUUGCUGCUUUUCUUUUGUCUUAUGUGACAGUUAAGUCUUUGAUUCAAGGAAUAUAUAUAUUAUUCCACUUCUCGGCCGUGCUAGUGACUUCCGUGUCUCUGCUGGUUGCCUGGCAACCUCGCAGACCUUUUACAUAUUAAACACACAAGAUAUAAUGUGUUAAUUAGUGAGAGUCAGAGAUGCUGGAGGACAGAUUUUGUUAUCUCUGGACAGAGCCCAGGCUAGAUGUUUCCAGUUUCGAUGCUAAGCUAAGGUGAGCUUUUCACUGCAUCGGAAUAUUUUUCUACUUCUUCUUCUAUUCUACUUCCGCAGAUCUGUGCCUCGACACAACCCUGUCUCUGAGCUCUGCAGGCAGCUCCUUCACCUCGCGGCCUGGUUACUGCUCUGAUCUGCACUGUCAGGUGUGAGACCUUAUAAAGUCAGGCGUGUGCCUUUCCACAUCAUGUCCAAUCAGUUGAAUUUACCGCAGGUGAAACUUCACAACAAAAGGGUCUGAAUACUUAUGUCAAUGUCAUAUUUCAGUUUUCUUCUUUUUAAUAAAUUUGCAAAACAAAAUUCUAAAAUUCUGUUUUCACUUUGUCAUUAUGGAGUAUGGAGUAUAGAUUGAUGAGAGAUUUUCUUUAUUUAAGCAUAUAAGGCUGCAACAGAACAACAUGUGAAGGAAAAAAUUGAAGGGGUCUGAACACUUUCUGAAUGAGCUGUAAUCAUCUGCCGGCUCGAGCCUUAUUUUGAACAGACAGAUGUGAAACUGCUGUGAAUCCACUCAUGGAACUCUUGGCAAGAAAGAAAAUAAGCAUAUUUCCUAAAUGCCAAACAUUUUUUCUGGCUCCAGCUCUUCAGUGUGAGGAUCUGCUGCUUUUUGGGUUUUUUUUUUUAUUUUGCUGCUUUAUCUCAUUUCAAUGUCUUGUUGGUGAGACAAAAGCAGUUUAAAGAUCUUUGACUUGUUUCACCAUUUUCUGACUAAACAAUUCACUGAUUAAUUAAAAAAAGUAAUCAGAUUAAUCAGUAAUGGAUAUAAUUGUUGAUUGCCGUCUUAACUUUUAAUAUUAUUCUUGUGCUUUGCUUUUAAUCUGUGCAUAUGAAAAAAUCAUACUUGAGGAUUAGAGUAAAAAAUCUGAUCCUUUAAUAAUCUGUUGAGCAAAAACAGGAAUUAAGAGUGCUUGAUGGCUUUGUUCAGUUCCUUCUAUAAAAUUUAUUCAUUUUCUCUUAACUGGCAGCUCCUCAUGAGGCCGCUCUGACUGCGCCUGUCCACGAGUGAAGAAAAUCAUCUUCAAGACUGAAGAAAUUAGUCAUCCGGUCAAUUCAACAGCACCGAUGAGCCUAUUUGAGACUGGAGACUGGAGCUCCAUGGCGACAGUCUUUACCUUCGCAGCUAUCCACAGGAGUGAGUCCCUCUCCUCUGUUGAUGGACCAGCACAUCUUCGUGGGAAUCCCAAAGUAGCCCAUUACACCUGUGUACAUCCGGUACCAGCUGGCCAGGACCACCUGGGGAGAGGGGGCGGACAGCGGGAGACAUGACAGCCAGUGAAAAGCCUAUUCAAACAACAUGUCUGAAAGGACCUUUCUGUCCUGUUAUCUCUGAGGAGAGCAGACACAUGGGAUUCUCAUUGUACUCCUGCAGAAGUCGUUUACUGACUGCUUCCCUGAGCUGGAAAUGUUGAUCUUCUCUGCACUGCUUUGUGGAUUAGCUCUGGUGAAUCCAGGAAAUAAAAACAGCUCAUUAAUGAGUGAAAUCAG